UGCGUAGGCGGACUAAUAAGUCAGUGGUGAAAUCCUGCCGCUUAACGGUAGAACUGCCAUUGAAACUGCUGGGCUUGAGUACAGUUGAGGUAGGCGGAAUGUGUAGUGUAGCGGUGAAAUGCUUAGAUAUUACACAGAACCCCGAUUGCGAAGGCAGCUUACUAAACUGUAACUGACACUGAGGUACGAAAGCGUGGGGAGCGAACAGGAUUAGAUACCCUGGUAGUCC
rnacentral:rRNA from 1 species